GGGGAUGUAGCUCAGUGGUAGAGCACAUGCUUAGCAUGCAUGUCGUCCUGGGAUAAAUCCCCAGCAUCUCCA